GAUGAACGCUGGCGGCGUGCCUAACACAUGCAAGUCGAACGAGAAGUCAACUUCUGAUUCCUUCGGGAUGAGGAGGUUGGCAGAAAGUGGCGAACGGGUGAGUAACGCGUGGGUAAUCUACCCUGUAAGUGGGGGAUAACCCUCCGAAAGGAGGGCUAAUACCGCAUAAUAUCUUCACUUCUAAAAGAAGAGAAGAUUAAAGAUGGCCUCUGUCUUAAGCUAUCGCUUCAGGAUGAGCCUGCGUCCUAUUAGUUAGUUGGUGGGGUAAUGGCCUACCAAGACCACAAUGGGUAGCCGGUCUGAGAGGAUGUACGGCCACACUGGGACUGAGAUACGGCCCAGACUCCUACGGGAGGCAGCAGUGGGGAAUAUUGCGCAAUGGGGGAAACCCUGACGCAGCGACGCCGCGUGGAUGAUGAAGGCCUUUGGGUUGUAAAAUCCUGUUUUGGGGGAAGAAACCUUAAGGGUCCAAUAAACCCUUAAAC
rnacentral:rRNA from 1 species